AUGCUUCCCCCUACAGGACAGAGAGGAGGUCACACGGUCGAAGGAGGACAGAGAGGCAGUAGCUAUGUUGAAACAAAGACCAUCAGAGUCCCAGUAGAUGGUGUCGAGAGAUACGCCACUCCGCUGCUGAGAAGAAGGGACUUUCCACGGAUGUGUGUCUCUCCUGAAGCAGUAAAAGGCCUCCUCAGAUCUACCGAACGUAAGCUGGCCAAGAACCCUGAUCUGACCCUCACAUACAACCAGGAGAUCCACAGGUUAGUAGAUUCUGGUUAUGUUGUUAAGCUGAGCCCAGAUGAGACACAUAGCUCUUCUGAGUCAUGGUAUGUACCCCACCACAUGGUACAUCACAACAAUAAGGCUAGAGUGGUCUUCAACUGUUCGUUUGAGUUUCAGGGGACCGUCCUGAACCACUACCUCUUACCAGGACCUCCCUUGGGGCCCACUCUGCUGGGGGUAUUGCUCCGCUUCCGCCAACACCCUGUGGCCGUGAGUGGAGAUAUCAAAGCCAUGUUUCAUCAGAUUCGGCUGCUCCCAGAGGACUGUCCUCUGCUACGGUUUCUGUGGAGGGAUUGUGAAACUGACCGGCCCCCAGACGUAUAUGAGUGGAGAGUGUUGCCCUUCGGAACGACAUGUAGCCCCUGUUGUGCUAUUUUCGCCCUACAGAGACAUGCAAGGGAGCACAAAGACACCCACAGGGACAUCUGCGACUCUGUCCACACAGCCUUCUAUGUGGAUAACUGUUUACAGUCCCUGUCCAACCCAGAAGAGGCAAAGCAGCUCAUCGACCGGAUGAGAGAUUUACUUAUUCAAGGAGGAUUUGAGAUACGACAGUGGGCGAGCAACGUGCCCGAAGUAGUUGCUCACCUGCCCGCUUCAGCUAGAUCAGAGAGCUGCGAGCUUUGGCUGAACUUCAAAAGUCUCGACCCACAAGAGUCAACAUUAGGACUCAGCUGGCACUGCCCGACGGAUGUCCUGGGAUAUAAGCACCGCCCUAUAACCUACUCCACGGUCACGCUGCGCAAUGUGUACAAGGUACUAGCUACCCAGUAUGACCCCCUAGGUUACAUUUGUCCCUAUACUACAAGGGCCAAGCUGAUUGUACAGGCCCUGUGGAGCACCGAGAGAGGAUGGGAUGAGCCCAUCGAAGGGAAUCUACUUCAGUCCUGGCUUGAGUGGGAAGGUGAACUGUCACACCUCCAGCACGUCACCAUUCCCCGCUGCUACGCUCCUCCUCACAACUCCAGCAAUGCGACAUAUGAGGCUCACAUAUUCUGUGACGCAUCAGAAAAGGCUUAUGGGGCUGUGGCUUAUCUCCGAGUAAUCGAGCAACAAAUGCCCAUCGCCACAUCAUUCCUGUUGGCUCGUUCCAGAGUGGCCCCACGCAAACAGGUGUCAAUGCCCCGGUUGGAGCUUUGCGCAGCACUCACAGGAGCCCAAUUGGCCAAAGUACUCCAGACAGAGCUCACCAUCCUCCUGCAGUCGAUCUACCUGUGGACAGAUUCUACGACGGUGCUGCAGUGGAUCCAGUCUAGUUCCUGUCGCUAUAAGGUAUUUGUGGGGACUAGAAUCUGUGAAAUACAGGAGCUGACAUCACCUGAACAGUGGCGGUAUGUGACCUCUGACCUCAAUCCCGCUGAUGACAUCACCAGAGGGAAACAUCUCGCCGACCUAACAGUCCCCAAUCGUUGGUCACAUGGUCCACCCUUCCUGUCACAAACUGCUGACACUUGGCCUAAGUUGCCAACAGAGUUCCCGGCAUGCAGCGAGGCAGAGCUCAGGAAGACUGCAUUCUGUGGGCACGCUUCGGUAUCCCCGACCUUACCAGAUCCAACACAGUAUGCCACACUAGAUGAGCUGAUUGCUGCUACACACCGUACCCUACACGGGGCGGCCGACACUCCUAUUACAGCAGCGGAGCAACUAGAAACCAAGACCAUGCUGCUUCGCUCGGCUCAGACUGACAGCUUCCCAGAGGAGGCCAAAGCCCUCCAGAUCAGUCACCCAGUCCGCUCGGACAGCCGUCUUAGCGUGCUGUCCCCUGAAUAUGACAGUCUUACCGGUCUCAUCAGAGUCGGAGGCCGCCUCCGUCGAGCCGCCGACUUAGAUCCAGACAGUAUUCAUCCCAUUGUGUUAGCAGCUGAACAUCCCCUGACCAAGCUCAUCAUAAAAACUUAUGAUGACCAGCUCCUUCAUCCAGGUGCAGAGAGGCUGUUUGCGGAAAUACGGCGCACCUAUUGGAUUCUCAGAGGACGCCAAGCCAUUAAGAAACACCAGCACCAGUGUGUGGACUGUAGGAGAUGGCGCGCCUCACCUUCUACACCCAAAAUGGCUGACUUACCUUCAUCACGGCUGAGACUCUAUAAGCCCCCGUUCUGGUCAACGGGCGUAGACUGUUUUGGACCGUACACGAUAAAGAUAGGUCGUAGAAGAGAGAAACGCUGGGGAAUUAUCUACAAGUGUCUUACAACCAGAUGCGUGCACCUCGAUCUCCUCCCUAGUCUUGACACCGAUUCCUUCCUUAUGUCAUUACGCCGAUUUAUCGCACGCCGAGGAAAGCCAUACGAGAUGUGGUCGGAUCGAGGGACCAAUUUCAGAGGUGGUCACAGAGAACUCCAAACGGCGUUUGAAACAUGGAGCCUGACCUCAAGCAGCAGCUAG
rnacentral:lncRNA from 1 species